GGACCCGCACAAGCAGCGGAGCAUGUGGUUUAAUUCGAAGCAACGCGAAGAACCUUACCAAGGUUUGACAACCCCUUGACAGAUGCAGAGAUGUGUCCUCCCCUUCGGGGGCAAGGGAGACGGGUGGUGCAUGGUUGUCGUCAGCUCGUGUCGUGAGAUGUUGGGUUAAGUCCCGCAACGAGCGCAACCCUUAUCCUUAGUUGCCAGCAAGUAAAGUUGGGCACUCUAAGGAGACUGCCGGUGAUAAACCGGAGGAAGGUGGGGAUGACGUCAAAUCAUCAUGCCCCUUAUAUCUUGGGCUACACACGUGCUACAAUGGUCGGUACAAAGGGAAGCGAAAGAGUGAUCUGGAGCAAAUCUCAAUAAACCGAUCCCAGUUCGGAUUGUAGGCCGCAACUCGCCUACAUGAAGUUGGAGUUGCUAGUAAUCGCGAAUCAGAACGUCGCGGUGAAUGCGUUCCCGGGUCUUGUACACACCGCCCGUCACACCAUGGAAGUUGGUAAUACCCGAAGUCGCUGAGCUAACCGUAAGGGGGCNGGCGCCGAAGGUAGGAUCAAUGACUGGGGUG
rnacentral:rRNA from 1 species